GAGAGUAUAGCUCAGUGGUAGAGAACGUAUCUAGCAUAUAGGAGGCUCUAGGUUCAAUCCCUAGCACUUCA
rnacentral:tRNA from 1 species